AUGCGUAUGAGGCCGACAUUUCGAAUUUAUUUGCGCCAAUAUGAUUACCACAACAAGUUAACAGUUGCUCGAAGCAGUGCAAAUUAUAGAAGGAGUUGUGACAAUUUGGAAAUGCUGCACUUAAAAGUGUCUUUUUUGUAGAUGUCUUUACCAAUAAACCCAUGUCUGAAAAAUACAUGACGGGUAAAAAGAAUAAACAUGCCUUUGGUGGUUCAAGCUUUUUUGAAAUAAUAAGAGAUGCUAUAGCUACAAGUCACAAAUGGCAACAUGGACAACAAUAUGGAACUAGUGUGCAAUAUACCUAAAAUACGCCCAGAAAUUUCGGGAAUGUGUCUAGCAAAAGGAUAAACAUUUUAAAUAAAAUUAAGUAUUCA